GGCGACCGUGGCUUCCCCGACUCCAGCUUCUCCGGCGCAAGCGGAUUUUUGCACCAACAGGAUUGGCGCUAGAGGAAGGGCGUGUGUCUUCGCAGCACCCUUGUUCUUGAAGGAGCACUCAACGGACCCGCUUUCGGCCAUCUUUUCCGACACCCAAUCCUCUUUUCCCCAUCCGAUGCCCUCUCGCGAGGUUUCUGCACAACUACCUCCGGCUAUGGUCGCCGAUAAAAGGUGGCCGGGUGACCAGUCUCC
rnacentral:lncRNA from 1 species